GCCAGGGUAGCGUAGCGGUUAUAGUGUCGGACUAGUACCUGGGAGACCAGGGUUCAAAUCCCUACCCAGCCA